AUAGAGUCGUAGGUGGUUGAAAAAGUUAGUGGUGAAAUCCCAGAGAAAGUGAAGGAACUGCCAUUAAAACUUUUCAGCUAGAGUAUGAUAAAGGAAAGCAGAAUUUCUAGUGUAGAGGUGAAAUUCGUAGAUAUUAGAAAGAAUACCAAUUGCGAAGGCAGCUUUCUGGAUCAUUACUGACACUGAGGAACGAAAGCAUGGGUAGCGAAGAGGAUUAGAUACCCUCGUAGUCCAUGCCGUAAACGAUGUGUGUUAGACGUUGGAAAUUUAUUUUCAGUGUCGCAGCGAAAGCGAUAAACACACCGCCUGGGGAGUACGACCGCAAGGUUAAAACUCAAAUGAAUUGACGGGGACCCGCACAAGUAGCGGAGCAUGUGGUUUAAUUCGAAGAUACGCGCAGAACCUUACCAACACUUGACAUGUUCGUCGCGACUCUAAGAGAUUAUAGUUUUCGGUUCGGCCGGACGAAACACAGGUGCUGCAUGGCUGUCGUCAGCUCGUGUCGUGAGAUGUUGGGUUAAGUCCCGCAACGAGCGCAACCCUCACUUUUAGUUGCCAUCAUUAAGUUGGGCACUCUGAAAGAACUGCCAGUGAUAAGCUGGAGGAAGGUGGGGAUGACGUCAAGUCCUCAUGGCCCUUACGUGUUGGGCUACACACGUGCUUCAAUGGUAUCUACACAGGAAGCAAGACUGCGAGGUCAAACAAAUCCUUAAAAGAUACCUAAUUUCGGAUU
rnacentral:rRNA from 1 species